rnacentral:rRNA from 1 species
UGGGGAAUAUUGGACAAUGGGGGGAACCCUGAUCCAGCAAUGCCGCGUGUGUGAAGAAGGCCUGAGGGUUGUAAAGCACUAUCAGCGGGGAGGAGGAUUGAUUGGUUAAGAGCUGAUUGAUUGGACGUUACCCGCAGAAGAAGCACCGGCUAACUCCGUGCCAGCAGCCGCGGUAAUACGGAGGGUGCGAGCGUUAAUCGGAAUUACUGGGCGUAAAGGGUGCGUAGGUUGUUGAAUAAGUUAUCUGUGAAAUCCCUGGGCUUAACCUGGGCAGGUCAGAUAAGACUGUUUAACUGGAGUAUAGGAGAGGGUAGUGGAAUUUCCGGUGUAGCGGUGAAAUGCGUAGAGAUCGGAAGGAACACCAGUGGCGAAGGCGGCUACCUGGCCUAAUACUGACACUGAGGCACGAAAGCGUGGGGAGCAAACAG